GAGUUUGAUCCUGGCUCAGAUUGAACGCUGGCGGCAUGCCUUACACAUGCAAGUCGAACGGCAGCACGGGAGCUUGCUCCUGGUGGCGAGUGGCGAACGGGUGAGUAAUGCAUCGGAACGUAUCCUGGAGUGGGGGAUAACGUAGCGAAAGUUACGCUAAUACCGCAUAUUCUGUGAGCAGGAAAGCGGGGGACCUUCGGGCCUCGCGCUCUUGGAGCGGCCGAUGUCGGAUUAGCUAGUUGGUGAGGUAAAGGCUCGCCAAGGCGACGAUCCGUAGCAGGUCUGAGAGGAUGAUCUGCCACACUGGAACUGAGACACGGUCCAGACUCCUACGGGAGGCAGCAGUGGGAAUUUUGGACAAUGGGGGCAACCCUGAUCCAGCCAUGCCGCGUGAGUGAAGAAGGCC
rnacentral:rRNA from 1 species